UACGAAGGGGGCUAGCGUUGCUCGGAAUGACUGGGCGUAAAGGGCGCGUAGGCGGAUGGCACAGUCAGAUGUGAAAUUCCCGGGCUUAACCUGGGGGCUGCAUUUGAUACGUGUGAUCUAGAGUGAGGAAGAGGGUCGUGGAAUUCCCAGUGUAGAGGUGAAAUUCGUAGAUAUUGGGAAGAACACCGGUGGCGAAGGCGGCGACCUGGUCCGAUACUGACGCUGAGGCGCGAAAGCGUGGGGAGCAAACAGG
rnacentral:rRNA from 1 species